UUCAAGGCAAAGGUUGGGGUAUUGUUUCUACAAACCAAGGAUUAUUGGCAAUUACCAGAAGCAAGAUCUCACCCUUCUAGCCUCCGGAACUAUGAGACGAUAAAUUUCUGUUGUUUAAACCACCCAGUUUGUAGUUUGUAGUAUUUGUUAACGGCACCCUGGCAAACUAAUAUAGCAACAAGAUACCAAGAUGGCUUUCAAAAUUUAGGUGGCAAAGAUUAUUUAUUUCAGUCUCAUCAUGUAGUUGUCACUGUAGCAAAUAGAUUCACGGUUUUGCUUGUUUGUUUUUGGUCUUUACAUCUUUCUUUUCAGGAUUCAGUCCCCAGAGAGAGAGGCCAUGGUCAAACGUGGAUCCAACGCCCACUCAUGGUUAAAGGAGAACAGAGAACCUUCAUAUACAGUUCCCAGCAAAACUGUACUCUGUACCGAAUAGGUCCAUCUGAACCCUGUGUGGAGCAGAAUACUGUCAAGUAUGGUCUUUUCUACUCAGUAUAUUUAAAAAGAAGAGUUUAAAGAAUUGAGGAGGACAAAUUUUUUUCUAGAAAUUACGGCCCACUACCAUCUCGAAGAAACCUUGAGAGGAUGACAAGAUGAAAAAACUGGACAAACUGAAAAUUAAUAACUUUUGUGGACCCAUUAGAGAACUGAGACUGCAAAGCAUUCCACGACUUAAAAAUCUAAAGAAACAGAUGAAUCCAGAGAGUCAUAGAUGUGGUCUGAUUCCCUGGAGCAGAAGCUGCUGGAGCCAUAAAUAGAAACACAUAAAUGAUAAUUUGGAAGAAUUACUGGAGGCUGAGUGUGGACUUGC
rnacentral:lncRNA from 1 species